rnacentral:antisense_RNA from 1 species
UGUGGGAGCUGGCUUGCCUGCGAUGCAAUCACCUCGGUGUGUCAGUCACACCACAGUGAUGCUAUCGCAGGCAAGCCAGCUCCCACA